rnacentral:rRNA from 1 species
UACGGAGGUUCCAAGCGUUGUUCGGAAUUACUGGGCGUAAAGGGCGUGCAGGCGGACAGGUAAGUCUAAAGUGGAAUCCCGGGGCUCAACCUCGGAACUGCUUCGGAUACUGCUUGUCUUGAGUUCGUGAGAGGAAAGCGGAAUUCAGGGUGUAGCGGUGAAAUGCUUAGAUAUCCGGAGGAACACCAAUGGCGAAGGCAGCUUUCUGGCGCGAUACUGACGCUGAGGCUCGAAAGCGUGGGGAGCGAACGGG